UAGAAAGGCAACAACAAAAUUUAAGGACCGCACUGAAGAUGAGCAGGGAAAAAAAAUACCCAUCACCAAACAAACAAAGAAAGGACACAUACUCUCAGAUUUUAACUGUUUCCCAGUGGCAAACAGGGUUUGGGAGCACUUGAGUAACCCCAACCACAGUGAACUAAGAGUCCUCCAUGGAGCCCGCCACCGGUCCCCCAGCUGCAGGAAGGACAGCACUUUGCCGCAGCAGCUCACAGGCCUACAGUGAGCUCAGAACAGGACAAAGUCCAAAACUAACAUGCAGCACAUACUGGGAGGGUUUAGCGUGAGGCAUUAUCCACUACAAAUUGCUGUAUGGGCCACAGAUGGACAGUGAGAUAGCUUGGCCCCAAGAGUCAUUACCCUGGAAAGCAAAAGGGUAGAGUGAUGCAACUGCUAGCAUGAGCCAGAACAGGAGGGAAUACAAAGGGAGUUAUCUGGGCUCCUCAUCCUGAUGUAAAAGUGCAGGUGAGUCUUACUGUAUUUAAUGCACUUUUCUUCUUUAAAGCCCCACCCCCUGGUGUGACGUGGCUGCAAGAAUCUCAAGUUUUGGUUUAAGACUUAUGUUUGGAAAAGUCUUAAACUCAAUUCAAAAGACAGAUCCAAAAAGAAUCUGAAAUUUUCUGGUUUUCCACUGCUGUGAUUUAGAAAAGAAGUGGCUAACAGGUGAUUUUCUAAGUGUAGAUACACACAGUAAUAGCAAGAAUUACUUUAAAAGCUCCCUAAGAGCCAUCAUCUGAAAGAGCAAGCUUCUGGAGCAAUGACAGCCCACAGCUGCUUUGACACUUGCAGCAUCUGCAAAGACUUUACAGCCUCUCUGAAUCCACCUGUACUUAAUGUUACAUAUUUAAAAUAUUAUAUUUUUAAAGAAUCUUUUAAAAACCCUCAAAAAGUCCUUCAAAUAGAAAGAUCUCUUCAGAUAAAAAAAUACAUCGCCAGACUUUGAUCAAGCAACGAUGGCUUAAAAAGCCCCACACUACUUACUACUCAUGUAUUUUAGAAACCCCAUAUCUUUGCUGCAGCGGCUGAAUCAUAGAAUUAUAGAAUCGUAGAAUCGUUAAGGUUGGAAAAGACCUCUAAGAUCAUCAAGUCCAACUGUCAACUAGGCAUGUUCCUAGAAAAGGAUGUCCUUUACUACAUUUCAGUGCUUGGGAUCAAUUAGCCAGGCUAAGAAAAAGCUUGCUAAGCAGUCCUCAAAGCACCCCAGGAGCUGGAUAUCGAGUUAUGCACCCAGCUAAAACAAAAAUAGGGCACAGAGGGACAUGUGCGUCUCCCAGGCUCUGACUAUUUGCUGCUAAAGGCGCAGCUGGACAUUGCAUGGUAACUUUUCAGCAAGCUCACACAGUCAAUGAGAUUCCUAUCCUCAAGAAGCUGGACAGAGUUAAAUAAAUAACGCGGGGGUCUAGAGCAGAAGGCACUUGUUAAAGCAGUGAACGGUGAAGAGGAAAAAUACUUGCUGUACCCUGUGUUAGACUUUUUCAGUGUGAUAUCAGGCCAGAGCUGCAUCUACCCACAUAAUUUUAAUUAAACGCCUUCUCCAUGUUCAUUAUCAAGCCAUCUCCAGCAGCAGAAUAACAUGCAUCUUUUCCUUCAGAAGGCUUCAGAGAUUAAUCAAGGCUACAGCACGAUGGAGGGCUUGUGUUGGUGUGCUGCCUACCUCACCGGGUGAUGGGGCUGAAGCCAAGCAGAGAAGCUCACCGCGAUAACAAGCAAAAAAGCAGCUGUGCCCCAUGGUACUCGCCUACAGCUGGCCAAGUCAGCUGGCUGAGUCUCUUCUGUUGUGCCCAUUGACCUGGGUGCAUCAUUUUCCAUCUGCCCGACGGAAGAUAAGGGCCCCAGUGCCUUCAGGAAAGUGUUUCAGAGCCCUGCCCGCUUCAGCUGAGCUCAGCCUGCGCCAUGUGUGCUCAGAGCAUCUGAAGCGGCCAGACACCACCAACAGGCUGCCAGCAUCACCAGGCCCCCAAAUAUUUGUGCACUCACAUCAGCGUGGCUGACAGCCCACAGACAGGGAGGUAAUUACUGCCUUAACUGUGGCACUUCCUAACUUCUGAGUGCUUAAUUCUGCACCUUUAAAAAGAAAUAAACAAACAGCCCAUGAUUUAACAACUAUUUGUACUAAGCCCUUGGCCUUCAAACAACUCUGUUGUUCACCAAGUUGAGGAUGUGAUGAUCUCCUCCCUGCAGCUGUAGGUUAUGAUAACUGGAACUAUUCAGCUUUCAAGUGCAGGUCACAAGACAUCCAAUUUCCUCCUGGGGAGCAAGGGUCUUAGCGUAACACCUCACGUCCCUUUAGUUUUCCUUUCCCUGGGACUGGAAAGCCAGACAUCCAUCACACCACCCCUGACAGCUCCAGAGCGUGCCCUGGCUUCACCCAGCCCCGGGAAGCGGGACUCUGAAAUUCAAAGUCUGAGACAGCAAAACAGCUCCACCUCACGCAACCGAGAUGCAGAGCACCGUGCAACCUGUCCUCCUUCAUCGGCAUAAAUUUUUCCAUACGCAGAGUCAGAUGUGCUUUUCUGACAGCACUGUAAGAGCUUGCUGCUCCUCAGAGCAUUGAAGCAGUAGAUAAAAAUCACCUGGUUUACUCUGCAUUGGAGUGAAAGAGGAGCACCCAGCAGAGCCUGUCAACAUGCUGGUGCUGGAGAGGUAAUCGCUUCUUAGAGUGCACAAACUCAACCAGAAAAGUACCUUUCAAUACAGUACCUCUGGAGACUUAAAUUUAAAAAGUUAAGCUUUUCUUUUCAUCAUUGCUAACCAGCAAUGCCAAACAACAGGGAUAUCUACAAGAAAACAUAUUGAUUAGACACUCCUGUUUAAAACCCCUGUGCAUCUUCAGUGUGUCAGAAAAUGCAGUGAGACACUACAAACAACAAUAAAAAAACCUGAUAGAGUCAAGUAUGCACAACAGGAUGAUGGAAUUUUAAUUAAGUGUGUGGGGGCACCACAGGUCUGAGCUUUCCAGAUUCUAGCCUUGCAGGUGUUCCUGGUGAACGUUCCUGGACAUAUUCUUAAAUGUACACCUGCCGUACUUUCCGCACAGGCUCUGUCCACCAUAGUUAAACAUGAACAUGAAAAUCAGGCAGUCCUUCAACCCUCAGAAAAUGCAGUUUGCACCUUUUCAGGAAAGCAGAGCUGCAGAGUAAGAUACCAGACCAGGAAGCCCAGACUUUCAGGAUUGCCUGGAGAUGGAAAGAGCAAAAGAUGAAAACAUGACAGAGGGUGGUGCAUCGAAAUGGAAAGCAAUACGGUUGAAGCAUGGGGCAAGACUACAGUCAGCAAUCUGGGCUAGCCUGAAAGCAAUGCAAUGUGUGAGUGACUGUGGUCUAAGGACAGCAUUUAGAGUGAGGAUCAGGAAGGUGCCACAUCCAUGCAAUGCAAGGAGGAUGCAGCAGAGCUGGACAUGCGUGACUUGAAGUGACACAGAGAAAGCAAGCAAGGUGGAAGAGCAAAGGACAACCUAGAAGAGCAGCAUGCAGACCACAAAGGGCAUUCCUGGAAGGCUCUCCAGGCAGAGAUGGCCGUGUUUCAGCAUGUGCAAUUGCAGAACACGUGGCUGAAACAACUCCGCUGCAGAGAAGUGCUGGGACUCCCUCCACCAACGUGUCCUACAAAUCCCUGCUGUCACAUUGAGGUGGCCCAG